UACGAAGGGGGCUAGCGUUGCUCGGAUUGACUGGGCGUAAAGAGCUCGUAGGCGGUUUGUCGCGUCGUCUGUGAAAACCCACGGCUCAACUGUGGGCUUGCAGUCGAUACGGGCAGGCUAGAGUUCGGUAGGGGAGACUGGAAUUCCUGGUGUAGCGGUGAAAUGCGCAGAUAUCAGGAGGAACACCGGUGGCGAAGGCGGGUCUCUGGGCCGAUACUGACGCUGAGGAGCGAAAGCGUGGGGAGCGAACAGG
rnacentral:rRNA from 1 species